GUGCUUGGUUCGGCAGCACAUAUACUAAAAUUGGAACAAUACAGAGAAGAUUAGCCUGGCUCCUGCACAAAAAUGACAUGCAAAUUUGUGAAGCGUUCCAUAUUUUU